rnacentral:lncRNA from 1 species
UUUGUUAGGUGCUAUUGCAACAAAAUAAAGAGCAUAGGAUGCACAUAAAGUGCCCAUAUUACACUUAAAAAAAGUGCUAAAUAGCACUAAAAGGGUUUUUUUUGGCUCGUAAUCAUAGGGGAGCCACUUUAAGUGCUAUAUAGCACCUAUAUCUUUAAAGAUGGUGCUAUAUAGCACCUUACCACCCAUUACAGGUUCCCGUUUUUUGCUUUUGUUAAUUGUAAAAUAAAUAAAAAGAAAAAGUAGAUAGAAUACAAAAAGAUUAGAGAAGCUAGUGUUUGUGUGUGUGUGUGUGUGUUUUUAUAAAGUAUUUUUAUCAAUGAAAUUCCAAAAGCAUAAUCUGGCAAGGUAAUUUAAUCAACAGGCCAACAACGUUAAAUACAGUAUGCACAAAAAUUAUGAUCCAUAAUUUUUUUCUAGUUAAGUAAAAAAACAAAAAAAAAAAAAACAACCAAACAAAAAAAGUAUAUUUUGUUUUUCAUUCCCAGAGUUGUUAAGCGCUAAAGUAUUGUGCAAAGUAUGCAUACUGUGUAAUACAAUUCAUGCAAUUUCUCCGUAGGCCUAUGUGAAUGAAGGAAAAUGAAGUUUUGUGGUCUGUCUCCUUAAAGAAAAGAGUAAAAUGAGUAGUGCUGUCUGGCAAGUUUUAUUCUUCAUCAGCAGUAUCCUACAUAAACGCAUAAAAACUAAACCGUACAAUUCUACAUUUAAUAAAAAAAAAAAAAAAAAAAAUACUUGCAUGAUUGUGCAAUUAGACUCGACCCUGUUCCCGCCAAUCAUCAUUCACAGAAAGCACGAGGCAGCCGCGAGAGAAGGAAACGAUACAAACAGCGAAGUCAGGUUUAUAGCAACCCCAUCCAUUUUGAGAGGAAGAGUUAUUCAGUUCAUGGAUGUUUUAUUGAUGCCGAGCUACCCAACUAAGCCUGAAGAAACUUCACAUAGGCAAAAGAAGAUUCAUCGCUCCGGAAUAACAGACCUGGAUCUCAAGACCUGUGCUGAGAUAUUUCAAGUUAUCAAGUUUUGA